GGAGGGGUGGCAGAGUGGACGAUUGCGACGGUCUUGAAAACCGUUGAGGCGCAAGCCUCCGGGGGUUCGAAUCCCCCUCCCUCCGCCA
rnacentral:tRNA from 2 species